rnacentral:lncRNA from 10 species
CACUAUGUGCCAGGCACUCUUCUGAAUGCUUUCUGGCUGUGUGUGGACUCAUCCUCAGGACAACACUGCAAGAGGGAUAUUAUUCUUUUAUUCCUCCCCAUUUUACAUAUGAGGAAACUGAGCCAUAGAGAGACUGAAGAACUUGCUUUAGUUCUUUAGUUCUUUAGGCAGGCUGUUUACCUCCCAAGCCCAGCUCUUCCUACCUCUACUCUGCUGCCUUGAACUGUUAGCAUCCUCUUCCUUUCAAUCAGGAAUUCUUAGAAAUGCAGACAUUUUCAACAUCCAAAGAAAUGUCUUUCUCAUAAUGGGCUGUUGGAUAUGGUCACAGGCUAGUGAGGGCAGUGCUGGUUAGGGAAUUAGCAAAGCAGGUGAGAGAGAGAGAAAGAGAAAGAACUCUAUUGAAGUUAAGAAUUUUGCAAUCAGAGGAUGUGAUUUAAUUGUAGCAUAGCACAAUCAUAGCUCGCUGUAACCUUCAACUCCUGGGCUCAAGCAGUACUCCUGCCUCAACCUCCCGAGUAGCUGGGACUACAGAUGUAUGCUACUACACCUGCCCAGUUUUUUAAACAAAAAUACUUUUUUUUGCUAUUUUACCCAGGAUGGUCACAAACUCCUGGACUCAAGUGAUCCCCCUGCCCUGGCUUCCCAAAGUGCUGGGAUUACAGGUGUGAGCCACUGCACCAGCCUAUUUUUAUUUUAAAAUGUUUAAUUAUAUAUUAGAGGAGGAUUCCAUAAGGUCUUUCUGUGAUUAACAUCCUGAUACUAACUUGUCUGUGGUCAUUUACCUAUUCUACUUCGAAGAUUGAAUCAAAAAACAAUCGCAGGGCCAGGCGCUGUGGCUUACGUCUGUAACCCCAGCAUUUUGGGAGGUCAGGGCAGGAGGAUUACUUGAGCCCAAGAAUUUGAGAUGAGCCUGGGCAACAUAGUGAGUUCCUGUCUCUACAAAAAAUUUUUAAAAAUUAGCUGGGCGUGGUGAUGCAUGUAUGUAGUCCCAGUUACUUGGGAGGCUGAAGCACGAGAAUCUCUGGAGCCCAGGAUUUUGAGGCACUCCAGCCUGGGCAACAGCAAGAUGUCGUCUCAAAAAAAAAAAAAAAAAAAAAAAAAUCCCAGUGACUUGAAUGUUCCAGGCAGUUGGUUUCUCAAGUUCAUUGAGUUUUUACUGCACUUGGAAAAAAAGGUUUUUUUCUGCAUUUCUUUAAAAGAGUUUCAAAGUAAGUAAUGAGCCUGAAUGGGCAAGGGGUAAGGACACUUAUUUUCCUUUGGCUGAAUUGAAGGUUCUUCCUCCCCAUGUCCCAGAAUGGUUCAUUUCCUUCCAAUUUCCCCUGUGCGUGCUCACUACCCCUCCUACUCUAAGACCCUCAGUGUUUCCUUUAGGUCUUUCCUUGCGCCUCAGAAUUAGGCCACUUGCCCUUCUGAGCCCCUCCACAGGCCUUGGAGGGGCCUUAGGCUCGGCCUAUGCUCAGAGCACUCCCAACGCUGGGACCAUCCCUCCUCUUCCUGCCCCCUGAAGUGUCCAGCCUGGCAGUGGACCUUGGCCAAAGAAGAGAUGAACCAUGUGAAGACCUCAUCUCUGCCUCCCAUCACCAGUUUUCUCUGCAAGCUCACAUCAUCUCUUCCUGCCUGUCAUGCUUUAUCUAUAAGCAGCUUUCAGCAGCUCCUUACUGCCCCCAGAAGCAAGCCCAGACCUUUCCCUGGCAUCUGGACUCUCCUGCAUUUGAUCCUGACUGACCUGCGAGGCUUGCCUCUCUCCAUAGCCCAACCCAGGCCUGACUGUGGAGCAGAUCCUGAAUGCUGUCACCCUGGCUCCUGGCUCGAGCUGUUUCCUCUGCCUGUUUCUCUCCAGCCUGGGGAAGUUGACCCAUCUACCAGGGCCUAGCACAAAGCCCAUUUCUUGAAAACUUCUUCCCAGCACUUAUCUCAUUCAUGUUCUCUCUCCUUUCCUUCCCUCCUUCCCUACCCUCUUCCUCCCUUCUUUCUCUCUGUCGCUCUCUCUCUGCUUCUCUCUCUCUCUGUUUCUCUCUCUCUGUCUCUCUCUGAGUGUGUAUUGAUCUCCCUCCUCAGCCACGUUCCUAUGGGACUCCCCUUUUACCUCUGAGAUAGCACUUAUUUCAGGCUGCUUUGGAGUAGAGUUCUUCAUGUUCAU